GGUUCAAGUCCCUUUUUCCCC
rnacentral:tRNA from 1 species